AUACGGAGGAUGCGAGCGUUAUCCGGAUUUAUUGGGUUUAAAGGGUGCGUAGGCGGACGAUUAAGUCAGCUGUGAAAUGCCCGCGCUUAACGCGGGAAGUGCAGUUGAUACUGGUUGUCUGGAGUGCCGUUGCCGUGGGGGGAAUGUGUAGUGUAGCGGUGAAAUGCAUAGAUAUUACACAGAACGCCGAUUGUGAAGACACCAAACAAAGCGGUGACUGACACUGAGGAACGAAAUCGUGGGGAUCGAACAGAAUUAGAUACCCUGGUAGUCCACGCAGUAAACGAUGAUGACUAACCGGCGGCAAUAGACCGCCGGUGGCCAAGCGAAAGCGAUAAGUCAUCCACCUGGGGAGUACGACCGCAAGGUUGAAACUCAAAUGAAUUGACGGGG
rnacentral:rRNA from 1 species